rnacentral:lncRNA from 1 species
GGGGGCGGGGCCGGAGAGCGGGCCGCGCCGGGUAAACACCGGGUGGGAGGUGCGGGCGGGGACCGUGAGCCCUUUACCGGGCGGUGCGGCCUGGCCCGGCCUGAGCGGCCUUCCGCCGCCUGCAGACCCGGAGGGGCCGCAGUGCCCGGCCCUGCGAUCCCGGUGUGGCCGCGCGGAGCCCAAAGCCACGCGGGCCCGAGGCGAGGAGACCUCUGCUGGCCCGGGGACCCGCAAAGACACCCCGCUCUGCCCCAGCCACCCAGUGACGGUGUCCACUUGAAGCUUCCUUCUACCUCCAAAGUCCAGUGCCUAAGGAAAGUAACUGAGAAGGUCUGCAAUUCAGAAAGCACUCAUUCGUUAACCACUUGUCGAUUCUCCUGCGAUGGUGCCGGGAUGAGAUUUGAGUAAUACAGACCAGAAAGAAUAAUAAAGGCCAGCACGUCAUUCAAGAAGCACUCUGGGUUUCGCUGUUCAUACCUGAAGAUGCAGCAGUGUCAGCUGAACUCCCAGUUGUUCUUUAAAGAGUGCAAAAAGUGCACCGGGAUCUUGGCGAGACUUUAAUAACAACCGUAAUUUACCAUCUUCUUAAAUGCCCUCGUCCUCCACGUACAGAGUGUGCCUUUGUUCAGUCUACAGUGUUGCUGCUGCGUGUCUCUGAAACUAUUUUCCAUAGAUUCGCCUUGUAAUCUUUCUAAAACCAAAACAAGGACAGACUGCAGAAAGGAAACCAUGCCCUGAUGUGCCUAUGAGCUUAUCUUCCGGAUCGAACUCAGACCUUGCCCUUGUGAGACAGACACCAACCUCGAAGCCAGGAUUGGAAUGCAAGACAUGUACCUGGCGGUGAAGAAAGAAAGCAGCCACGGGGGUGUGAGAUGACACAGGGAGGUAGUGUCCCGUGUCCAGGAGGUGUGUGAUCUACCCACGGCAUCUGGAGCUUCAGCCCCCUAGGAAAAUUGUGGGCACAGGGAGGCAGUAACCUCUCUUCUACUUUCAAAUAAAACUUAGUAGCACAAAGCUGAAAUACACAUUGACUUUGUGGGAUUUUAACACAUGUGCAGGAUGGACC